rnacentral:rRNA from 1 species
GACGAACGCUGGCGGCGUGCUUAACACAUGCAAGUCGAACGAAAAGAGGGAAAGAGCUUGCUCUUUCCGGAAUUGAGUGGCAAACGGGUGAGUAACACGUAAACAACCUGCCUUCAGGAUGGGGACAACAGACGGAAACGACUGCUAAUACCGAAUAAGUUCCAAGGGCCGCAUGGCCCAUGGAAGAAAAGGUGGCCUCUACCUGUAAGCUAUCGCCUGAAGAGGGGUUUGCGUCUGAUUAGCUGGUUGGAGGGGUAACGGCCCACCAAGGCGACGAUCAGUAGCCGGUCUGAGAGGAUGGACGGCCACACUGGAACUGAGACACGGGCCAGACUCCUACGGGAGGCAGCAGUGGGGAAUCUUCCGCAAUGGGCGAAAGCCUGACGGAGCAACGCCGCGUGAGUGAUGACGGCCUUCGGGUUGUAAAACUCUGUGAUCCGGGACGAAAAGGCAGAGUGCGAAGAACAAACUGCAUUGACGGUACCGGAAAAGCAAGCCACGGCUAACUACGUG